ACGUAGGGAGCAAGCGUUGUCCGGAUUUACUGGGUGUAAAGGGUGCGUAGGCGGCUUUGCAAGUCAGACGUGAAAACCACAGGCUUAACCUGAGGACUGCGUUUGAAACUGUGGAGCUUGAGUGAAGUAGAGGCAGGCGGAAUUCCCGGUGUAGCGGUGAAAUGCGUAGAGAUCGGGAGGAACACCAGUGGCGAAGGCGGCCUGCUGGGCUUUAACUGACGCUGAGGCACGAAAGCAUGGGUAGCAAACAG
rnacentral:rRNA from 1 species